GUUUUACAUCACAUACCUCUCUAAAAAAAACACGCCGCAUACCUCCCAGCUCCCACCGCUCUCCCACCGACACACAACCUCUGCAGAGAUGCUAUAUUUCUCUGAAUGCACAAUGAGGGACGUCUGCAGCAACUGAGAAAGAGUCUCACCACAUCCUGACAUGAGGAAAAAGACUUUAUUGAAGACUACAAUGAGAAAAACUAUCAGACAGCAGACGGCUGCAUUCAAGUCUGUAGCUGCUGAAUUCAUGGAUGAAUCAUCUGGCACUAGAGAGGAAGACCAUCAAACAUCCACGUCAGCUGAUGGAGGUCCAAGAGUCUCACUGAACAACCAACCUACAGAGUGAAGACCUCAAAUCUGAUUGGACAGCCUCCUAUUCAGCCACGUGUGUGAACAAAUGCCUCUAAGCUGAUUUGUUUUCUAAAAUAAAUCUAGUUUGAGUCCUAAUCAAUGCCUGU